UACGUAGGGUGCGAGCGUUGUCCGGAUUUAUUGGGCGUAAAGAGCUCGUAGGCGGUUUGUCGCGUCGGCCGUGAAAUCUCCACGCUUAACGUGGAGCGUGCGGUCGAUACGGGCAGACUUGAGUUCGGUAGGGGAGACUGGAAUUCCUGGUGUAGCGGUGGAAUGCGCAGAUAUCAGGAGGAACACCGAUGGCGAAGGCAGGUCACUGGGCCGCAACUGACGCUGAGGAGCGAAAGCAUGGGGAGCGAACAGG
rnacentral:rRNA from 1 species